rnacentral:rRNA from 1 species
GAGAGUUUGAUCCUGGCUCAGGAUGAACGCUAGCUACAGGCUUAACACAUGCAAGUCGAGGGGCAGCAUGGUCUUAGCUUGCUAAGGCCGAUGGUGACCGGCGCACGGGUGAGUAACGCGUAUCCAACCUGCCUUACACUCUUGGACAGCCUUCUGAAAGGGAGAUUAAUACAAGAUGUUAUCAUGAGUAAGCAUUUUCGCAUGAUUAAAGGUUUACCGGUGUAAGAUGGGGAUGCGUUCCAUUAGAUAGUAGGCGGGGUAACGGCCCACCUAGUCUUCGAUGGAUAGGGGUUCUGAGAGGAAGGUCCCCCACAUUGGAACUGAGACACGGUCCAAACUCCUACGGGAGGCAGCAGUGAGGAAUAUUGGUCAAUGGACGAGAGUCUGAACCAGCCAAGUAGCGUGAAGGAUGAAGGUUCUAUGGAUUGUAAACUUCUUUUAUACGGGAAUAAACGAAUCCACGCGUGGAUUUUUGCAUGUACCGUAUGAAUAAGGAUCGGCUAACUCCGUGCCAGCAGCCGCGGUAAUACGGAGGAUCCGAGCGUUAUCCGGAUUUAUUGGGUUUAAAGGGAGCGUAGAUGGGUUGUUAAGUCAGUUGUGAAAGUUUGCGGCUCAACCGUAAAAUUGCAAUUGAUACUGGCAGUCUUGAGUACAGUUGAGGUAGGCGGAAUUCGUGGUGUAGCGGUGAAAUGCUUAGAUAUCACGAAGAACUCCGAUUGCGAAGGCAGCUUACUAACCUGUAACUGACAUUGAUGCUCGAAAGUGUGGGUAUCAAACAGGAUUAGAUACCCUGGUAGUCCACACGGUAAACGAUGAAUACUCGCUGUAGGCGAUAUACAGUCUGCGGCCAAGCGAAAGCAUUAAGUAUUCCACCUGGGGAGUACGCCGGCAACGGUGAAACUCAAAGGAAUUGACGGGGGCCCGCACAAGCGGAGGAACAUGUGGUUUAAUUCGAUGAUACGCGAGGAACCUUACCCGGGCUUAAAUUGCAACCGAAUAUGGCGGAAACGCUAUAGCUAGCAAUAGCGGUUGUGAAGGUGCUGCAUGGUUGUCGUCAGCUCGUGCCGUGAGGUGUCGGCUUAAGUGCCAUAACGAGCGCAACCCUUGCCGAUAGUUACUAACAGGUCAUGCUGAGGACUCUGUCGGGACUGCCAUCGUAAGAUGUGAGGAAGGUGGGGAUGACGUCAAAUCAGCACGGCCCUUACGUCCGGGGCUACACACGUGUUACAAUGGGGGGUACAGAGGGCUGCUACCACGCAAGUGGAUGCCAAUCCCAAAAACCUCUCUCAGUUCGGAUUGAAGUCUGCAACCCGACUUCAUGAAGCUGGAUUCGCUAGUAAUCGCGCAUCAGCCACGGCGCGGUGAAUACGUUCCCGGGCCUUGUACACACCGCCCGUCAAGCCAUGGGAGCCGGGGGUACCUGAAGUGCGUAACCGCAAGGAGCGCCCUAGGGUAAAACUGGUGACUGGGGCUAAGUCGUAACAAGGUAGCCG